rnacentral:misc_RNA from 1 species
UCAAACUUGGUCAUUUAGAGGAAGUAAAAGUCGUAACAAGGUUUCCGUAGGUGAACCUGCGGAAGGAUCAUUAUCGAAUGCCAUUGGGGAUGUUGCUGACCGUUCACUUGUUGGACGGUAUAAUGUGCACUCCUCUGUUCAAAAAUCCACCUGUGCACGUUGAGUAGGCAUGGAUUUCUGUGCCUACGUUUUAAUAAUAAUACACACAUACGAUGAUGGUAUAUAAGGAUUAAAACAAAAAGUACAACUUUCAACAAUGGAUCUCUUGGUUCUCGCAUCGAUGAAGAACGCAGC